rnacentral:lncRNA from 1 species
UAGAAGGCCAAUGGCCCACAGCGUGCAGGGUGCAGUUUAUUAAGACAUAUUAGUCAUGUCAGUAAGUGUGAACUUUAUCCCAGUUGCCUGUGAGAAGAGACACUGGAAGCUUUCAGCCAUGGAAAUGACACGAUGCAGUUGGCAUUUUGUAAAUAUCACUCUGGUAACAGUUGGAAAAAGAAGCUUAACCCCCGACACGAAGUGACUAGUUAUUGAGCUGUUCCAGUAAUCCAAGUAAGAGAUGAUGGAGUGAUAAGAAAGAAGAAAACAGAAAGGAGGAAAAAACCUUGAGGGAGUGGAAUUGCUAAGUCCCAGUACUGUGGAUAAAGAAGCCCUCAUCCAGUGGCUGAUGGAAGCAGACAGACGUCCACAGAAAUACACUGAGCUGAAAUAUGGAACCUAGUUGAAGAGAGGGAGGAAUGAAGAUCGAAGGGAUAACAUUUGCAUCCGGAGAGCCUUGUCCAUUGCAGUAAAGUGACUUCGUCCUCUGCAUCAGCUGUGGGGAGAAGGGUAGAACUGAAGAAACGGAGGGACAGAAAGCCAGUCCCAGAGCAUGCUCUUUAGAGGAGAGACUCCCCUCACCUUAUGGAACAGCCGUGGAAAUGUGUUCAGUGGCAAAAGUGACCAUAGAGCCUUCUGUCCAGAAGCUGCUCUGGGCAGCUGCGAUAUCACGUGUGUAUGGAAAUCAGGUAGUUUUACCAGCCCAGAUGGAC